GACGAACGCUGGCGGCGUGCUUAACACAUGCAAGUCGAACGGAAAGGCCCCCUUGUGGGGUACUCGAGUGGCGAACGGGUGAGUAACACGUGAGUAACCUACCCUUGACUUUGGGAUAACUUCAGGAAACUGGGGCUAAUACCGGAUAGGAGCUCCUGCUGCAUGGUGGGGGUUGGAAAGUUUCGGCGGUUGGGGAUGGACUCGCGGCUUAUCAGCUUGUUGGUGGGGUAGUGGCUCACCAAGGCUUUGACGGGUAGCCGGCCUGAGAGGGUGACCGGCCACAUUGGGACUGAGAUACGGCCCAGACUGCUACGGGAGGCAGCAGUGGGGAAUAUUGCACAAUGGGCGGAAGCCUGAUGCAGCAACGCCGCGUGCGGGAUGACGGCCUUCGGGUUGUAAACCGCUUUCGCCUGUGACGAAGCGUGAGUGACGGUAAUGGGUAAAGAAGUACCGGCUAACUACGUG
rnacentral:rRNA from 1 species